UCGAGGAUCAUUCGCAAUGCGCGAAAGCGUGACGAUGCGACGCCGCGUGUAGGAUGAAGGCCUUCGGGUCGUAAACUACUGUCGUAGGGGAACAAUGAUUGGUGCAUGAAUAAUGCAUCAAAGUGAUAGUACCCUAGGAGGAAGCCACGGCUAACUCUGUGCCAGCAGCUGCGGUAAUACAGAGGUGGCAAGCGUUGUUCGGAUUUACUGGGCGUAAAGGGUGCGUAGGCGGUUUCGUGUGUCAGAUGUGAAAGCCUCUCGUUCAUCGAGAGAAUUGCAUUUGAAACUACGAAGCUAGAGUUCAGGAGAGGGGAGUGGAAUUCUUGGUGUAGCGGUGAAAUGCGUAGAUAUCAAGAGGAACACCGGUUGCGAAGGCGGCUCCCUGGAAUGAUACUGACGCUGAGGCACGAAAGCUAGGGGAGCAAACAGGAUUAGAUACCCACGUAGUCCCUG
rnacentral:rRNA from 1 species